UACGUAGGCAGCGAGCGUUGUUCGGAGUUACUGGGCGUAAAGGGUGCGUAGGCGGUUGUUUAAGUUUGGUGUGAAAUCUCCCGGCUCAACUGGGAGGGUGCGCCGAAUACUGAGAGGCGUAGAGUGUGGGAGAGGAAAGUGGAAUUCCUGGUGUAGCGGUGAAAUGCGUAGAUAUCAGGAGGAACACCGGUGGUGUAAACGGCUUCUGGACCAUAACUGACGCUGAGGCACGAAAGCGUGGGUAGCAAACAGG
rnacentral:rRNA from 1 species